UCCAGGACAACAGAACCAAUAGAGAAGGGGAUAGCGUGAGGCAGUGGAGUUUGGCCAAGAGAAAAGAGAAGCCAGGUCUGAGAAAGACUGGGGUUCUAAAGAGCUGACUGGGCAAAAGUCCAAAGACAGAAAUCACACUCAAAGUCAGAGCUAAGCUGCUACCAAGACUGUGACUGGAGCUGUGUCCCGAAUACUGGGAGCUCUGCAAGGAAGCAGCAUAUCUCCAUUUUACAGAAGAGGAAAUUGUGGCUUAGAGAGAUUAUAAAUAAUUAGUGGAGCUGAGGACUGAAGGCAGACAUGAAUGAACCCAAACCAAUUCCCCUUGCUCCCUACCACUACACGUCAUAAUUCUUCAAGAAAUAUCUAUUAAGAGGAUUCAGGUGGGUGAGGAAUCAGACAUAUUGGCAGAGCCUAUAGAAGGAUCACAACCUGCUUCCAAAACAAUUCCAUGGUUCAGAGAGAAAGGCUGAGUAGUAGCAGAAUGGGCAAGAUUCACUUCACUGUUGUCCUUCCACGGUUAUUUCAGAUUGAGGCCAUUACCUGAGCAGAAGUCCCCAUCUUCUCUCCUGCUCCCCAAGAAGGCUCCAAAGUGGGGUCUCUGCUUUCUCUCUUGCCCUUCACCAUCUGGCGCCCACAUGAAAGUGAGUGACCUUUUAAAAUAAAAUACAAAUCAAAUCAUUCUCCAGAGGCCCCAGUCCUGACGAACAUCUGUGUAUUUCUAUUCCUUUUUUGUCCCUGGAGAUAUCGGUCUUAUUUUUGAGCCCUAUUGCAACUUUUUAUUGGCUAAGUGUUAUGUGAGCCCUAUGGAAGGCACUUCACCUCUUUGACUCUUGGUUUUGUUUGUUUGUUUCAUUUUCAUCUUUCAAGUGGUAUAAUAACUCUUUUUUUUUUAAGAUUUUUUUUUUUUUUAAUUUAUUUGAGACCGAGAGAAUGAGAGACAGAGAGCAUGAGAGGGAGGAGGAUCAGAGGGAGAAGCAGACUCCCUGCCAAGCAGGGAGCUCAAUGUGGGACUCGAUUCCGGGACUCCAGGAUCAUGACCUGAGCCGAAGGCAGUCGCUUAACCAACUGAGCCACCCAGGCGCCCUAAGUGGUAUAAUAACUCUUGAGCUUACUUCAGGGUUCUAGAUAUCACAGGAAGGUGAAGGCAUUUUAAGAUUCAGGAACCCCACUUAGGGACAAAUCAUACGUCCUCCAAACACCAUGGCCCUGUUAAUUCUCAAAAUCUGCCUGAGCGAAGGCAGUCCUUUCUGUUCACAAAAUAAGCCAAGAGUUCAAGUCAAUCAGUCAUAAUGAAUUAGGUAAUAAAGUAAGUUGACCCUUCAGUGAAGAAGCUCUGGAUUCCUUUUUUUUUUCUUGCAAAUACUGUGUUUAUGACAUGAAUGAUCAGAAGUCACGGAAAGGCUGCCCUCCUAUAACUUUAUUCUGCCCAGGAAACAUAGCAAAGUCAUUGGGACAUUUGAAGCAAAUUAGAGCCAGAGCAGAGACCAGAAGCACAGCCAGUUUCCCACUUUUCUUUGUCCACAGGCCAAAAUAUGACAAACGUAC